rnacentral:rRNA from 1 species
AUUGAACGCUGGCGGCAUGCCUUACACAUGCAAGUCGAACGGUAACAGGUCUUCGGAUGCUGACGAGUGGCGAACGGGUGAGUAAUACAUCGGAACGUGCCCGAUCGUGGGGGAUAACGGAGCGAAAGCUUUGCUAAUACCGCAUACGAUCUACGGAUGAAAGCAGGGGACCGCAAGGCCUUGCGCGAACGGAGCGGCCGAUGGCAGAUUAGGUAGUUGGUGGGAUAAAAGCUUACCAAGCCGACGAUCUGUAGCUGGUCUGAGAGGACGACCAGCCACACUGGGACUGAGACACGGCCCAGACUCCUACGGGAGGCAGCAGUGGGGAAUUUCGGACAAUGGGCGAAAGCCUGAUCCAGCCAUGCCGCGUGCAGGAUGAAGGCCUUCGGGUUGUAAACUGCUUUUGUACGGAACGAAAAGACUCUGGUUAAUACCUGGGGUCCAUGACGGUACCGUAAGAAUAAGCACCGGCUAACUACGUGCCAGCCGCCGCCGUAA